ensembl:ncRNA C24A8.10 ncRNA
GUGCAGAAGUAUGAAUAUUUCGGUUUCCCACCGGCGUAUGUGUCGGCCCCCGGAGCACGAGGUAUUUCUCAAUCACUGCUCCGAGAGCACCGUAGUUCUUCUCCCUUCAAGGACACACCCACCAUCUUCUCUCUCUCUCUCUCUCUCUCUCUCUCUCUCUCUCUCUCUCUCUCUUCUCACCAGAGAUUCCGUGUGCAAGACGUCU